rnacentral:rRNA from 1 species
UACGAAGGGGGCUAGCGUUGUUCGGAAUUACUGGGCGUAAAGGGCGCGUAGGCGGCUCGUCAAGUCAGGCGUGAAAGCCCUGGGCUUAACCUGGGAACUGCGUUUGAGACUGGCGGGCUCGAGUUCGGGAGAGGCGGGGGUGGAAUUCCCAGUGUAGAGGUGAAAUUCGUAGAUAUUGGGAAGAACACCGGUGGCGAAGGCGGCCCGCUGGACCGACACUGACGCUGAGGCGCGAAAGCGUGGGGAGCAAACAGG